rnacentral:rRNA from 1 species
AAUAGAUACCCAGGUAGUCCACGCUGUAAACGAUGAGAACUAAAUGUUAGUAGGGGAACCUAUUAGUAUUGUAGCAAACGCGAUAAGUUCUCCGCCUGGGAAGUACGGCCGCAAGGUUGAAACUCAAAUGAAUUGACGGGGGCCCGCACAAGCGGUGGAGCAUGUGGUUUAAUUCGAUGCAACGCGAAGAACCUUACCUACCCUUGACAUCCUGCGAACCCUGAUGAGAGUUGGGGGUGCCGAAAGGAGCGCAGAGACAGGUGCUGCAUGGCUGUCGUCAGCUCGUGUUGUGAGAUGUUGGGUUAAGUCCCGUAACGAGCGCAACCCUUGUUCUUAGUUGCCAGCGAGUAAAGUCGGGGACUCUAAGAAGACUGCCGGUGAUGAACCGGAGGAAGGCGGGGACGACGUCAAGUCAUCAUGGCCUUUAUGGGUAGGGCUACACACGUGCUACAAUGGGGCGUACAGAGGGUCGCGAGCCUGUGAAGGGGAGCCAAUCUCGAAAAGCGUCUCGUAGUCCGGAUUGGAGUCUGCAACUCGACU